CUGUACGACCAUACCACCCUGGACGCGCCCGAUCUCGUCUGAUCUCGGAAGCUAAGCAGGGUCGGGUCUGGUUAGUACUUGGAUGGGGGAAUCCCAGUCACCUCUUGGCGUCCUCCUGA
rnacentral:rRNA from 1 species